rnacentral:rRNA from 1 species
AACGAACGCUGGCGGCAUGCCUAACACAUGCAAGUCGAACGAGACCUUCGGGUCUAGUGGCGCACGGGUGCGUAACGCGUGGGAAUCUGCCCUUGGGUUCGGAAUAACAGUUAGAAAUGACUGCUAAUACCGGAUAAUGUCUUCGGACCAAAGAUUUAUCGCCCAGGGAUGAGCCCGCGUAGGAUUAGCUAGUUGGUGAGGUAAAGGCUCACCAAGGCGACGAUCCUUAGCUGGUCUGAGAGGAUGAUCAGCCACACUGGGACUGAGACACGGCCCAGACUCCUACGGAGGCAGCAGUGGGGAAUAUUGGACAAUGGGCGAAAGCCUGAUCCAGCAAUGCCGCGUGAACGAUGAAGUCUUUCGGGAUGUAAAGUUCGUAAGCAGGAGAAGAAUACAAUGACGGUAUCGGGAGAAUAAAGCUCCGGCUAACUCCGUGCCAGCAGCCGCGGU